GAUUUCUGGUAUGAUUUAUCUGUCCCGCCACGGUUAACGUGUGUGAGUGACGGUAUAGAUCUGCCAUCCUUCUAGAGAAUGCAAUAUUAGCCUUUAUUGGUUUUGAUAUUGUAUCAUCUAGAUCUUUUACUUUGAAAAAAUUAGAGUGUUUCAAGCAGGCGUUUUGCUAUGAAUACAUUAGCAUGGAAUAAUAAGUUAGGACUUCGGUUCUAUUUUGUUGGUUUCUAGAGCUGAAGUAAUGAUUGAUAGGGAUAGUUGGGGGUGCUAGUAUUCAGCGGCCAGAGGUGAAAUUCUUGGAUUCGCUGAAGACUAACUUAUGCGAAAGCAUU
rnacentral:rRNA from 1 species